UAAUGAAUUGUAAAUGGGGGCUGAUGCUGGCAGUUGAUUCUUCAGCUGCAUUGUGCACGCUUCUAACAAUCUUUAUCCAAACACUUGUGCACCUUUGAAAGAAGGGGGGAAGGUUUUCCCUCUUCUUAUUUACAUACACCGUUUCUAUAAUGUUGAAUGUGAUCUUGUGCCUUUUCCUUUAAGGAGGGCCUAACCUAAUGUUAAUACAACUUUUAACAACGGAUCUCUUGGCUCUCGCAUCGAUGAAGAACGCAGCGAAAUGCGAUAAGUAAUGUGAAUUGCAGAAUUCAGUGAAUCAUCGAAUCUUUGAACGCACCUUGCGCUCCCCGGUAUUCCAGGGAGCACACCUGUUCGAGUGUCGUGAAAUUCUCAAGCUUAUAGAUGGUUUUUCAUCUUAGGCUUGGUUAUUGGGCUUUGCCGUGCCCCUCUUUAUUGAGGGAACGGCUGGCCUUAAAAGCAUUAGCUGACUCUUGUGUAGGAUUGGUUCUACUCAGCGUGAUAAUAAUUCUGACCGCCGAGGACAUCUUUCGGGAUGGCCAAUUCUUGCUUGGGUUGCUUCAAACUCUGGUUUACAGAUCUCUAUAUCUGUUCCACUAUCAAGUUUG
rnacentral:misc_RNA from 1 species